UACGGGGGGGGCAAGCGUUGUUCGGAAUUACUGGGCGUAAAGGGCUUGUAGGUGGCCAACUAAGUCAGACGUGAAAUCCCUCGGCUUAACCGGGGAACUGCGUCUGAUACUGGAUGGCUGGAGUGUGGGAGAGGGAUGCGGAAUUCCAGGUGUAGCGGUGAAAUGCGUAGAUAUCUGGAGGAACACCGGUGGCGAAGGCGGCAUCCUGGACCGAUAUUGACGCUGAUGCGCGAAAGCCAGGGGAGCAAACGGG
rnacentral:rRNA from 1 species